GGUAAUGUAGCUCAGUUGGUGGAGUGCUUGCUUUGUAUGCAUGAAGCCCUGGGUUCAAUCCCCAGCACCACAA
rnacentral:tRNA from 1 species